GCCAGUGUGGUGUAAUGGUUUGAGUGUUGUACUGCUACUCUGGAGACCAGGGUUCAAAUCCCAGCUCUACCA
rnacentral:tRNA from 1 species